GGGGGCAGGGAUGCUACGAUUUUGCACGUGAACCCCCGCGACCCUCGCCGUGCACGAGCCGCCUGUUGCUGGGCAGCGACUGCAAGCGACCCCCCGCUCCAAUUAACACCUCCAUUUCCACUACUACGAGCAGAAUUAUCUCACCCCCCAACUCUAAUUCCCCACAAAUGCAAAUGAGACCCGCUGGUUUCCUGCAUGCACUGGAAUUCCACGUGAACGUAAAUUUCACCACUGAUGACAUCAUUCUAAGAAUGACAUCAUUUUAUCCCGUGAUGAAAAUUACAAGACAUAACAUUACAUUAAAUAUUCUGAGCUUCACAGACAAACUACACAAACGAGCAUCCGAGAUACGGCGGUCCCUUACCGUGCGCAGCGGCGGGGAUUAAAAGCACGGAGAUGGUGAGGAGGACCUGCCAGGUCCAGAAGCGGCCGCACGCCAUGCUGGUCGUCGGAGAUAGCGGAGCGCAACACGCCGGCGUCGUUCAACAGAGGCGCCCGGGCUCCAUCGUGUGACGACUGGCCGGUGAGGUCGGAGACGCCGGUCUGACACCUCCGCGCGGGUUCGAGUGAGUGAGCGCGCGUGCGCACGACGGGCAGCCUGGCUAAGAUGCAGAAGCUCGUGCACGGCUGAACAGAUGGAUCCAACAGAGAACUAGAAAGCAACUAUACUGCAUGUGAUGGUAUGCCAGGCUAUUUUGGUUGUGAUUUCAUCGACUUAUGUUUUAAAUGGCCUUCUGGAACGGUGCAAAAACUUCAAUGAAUUAGACUCAAGGACAAGCAGACACGAUGCAAGGAGAUUAGCAAGCAUGCGCUACGUCUGUUCAACUGUGACUAGAAGGAGGAAGACCGGGUUGAGCUGCCAGAACGCCGUCACUCUGCGACGACGGAUCUGUAAAAAAAAACAAACAAAGUAGUUAAAACGCACUCUCAUUGGUAGGAAAUAGUGGCGCGCGGUGUCGAAAUGCUCACACGUGCCAUUGGGGGCGCAAGGGUGGCGGGGCGCCAUUUGUCCACCGCUGGGAGUCAUCCGGUUGGUCAUGGGCUGACCUGUAAAAAGACAUUUUUAAUGACGGCGAUAGUCGUCCAAUCCCUUUCAAUUGGAAGAGCUUACAGUGACAUUGGACAUCAUUAAUUUUUAAAGGGAACCUCAGACCUAAAGACCUGUAGGCUCUAAUAAGCCACAAUUGUUUUCCUUUACGAAAAUGUUUUAUUAGAAACACAUAAAAUAUUGCCAUUGAUUUAAAAAUCUAUGAUAUUUAGUACAUGUUUUGACCCUCUGGAGGGCGCCAUGUUACGGGUGCAAUGGACGCUUGGGGUGAUAACGUAGUUGGCGCGGACUGGGAGAGUAGUAGGGGUGUGCCAUCUUAGGCACCCCACGAUUCGAUUCGGAUUCAGGGUGCUACGAUUCGAUUAUUGAACGAUGAUCACGGUAUUGACGAUGAUCGUGGUUAUCACAAUUAUCGCGAUUAUCGAGGCAUCUUACAUUACUAAUUAAUACAGUAGCCAAACACUUUUAUGUCCAUUAUUUAUUUAAAAUAUCCUAAUGAUUCAACAGGAAUGAUGGAAAUAUGCCCAUACAACAAAAAGCUGCCCUCAAGCUGCUUUUUUUUAUUUUUAUUUUAUUAUUUUUUACAAGAAAGUGCAAAAACAUUAACCAUUUUAAAGGGAGUAUUUAUUUCUCUCAAAAUUCCAAUAAAAUUUACACAGGUGGAAUGAAUUCCCACAUUUUCUGGAAACAAAGUGUCUUGGAAAUAAAGACUUCUUUAAACCAAUAUACUUUUUUUUCACAGAUUUCUGUACUAUUUCGCAUGUUUGUAAUGUUACAGCUGUUCUACAUAUGAAAUACACGUUAGCCAAUUAGCUAAAUAGCUUAGCGCUCAGCGCUAACUAUUAACAUCUCAAAAACAACAACAGUAAAGGCUAAACAGUACAAGAGGAUUCGUGUACUCACCUCUUAGAGAUGCACACGGGUCUUACAACACACUCAGGACAUUUUUCAAUUCAAAUGUCUUAAAACUACUGCUGAACAUCCAAAAGACAAGGAGCAACGAAGUAUCUCUCUUCCCUUCUUGCCCAAAAAAAUAACUUACGCGACCGCCGGGUUGCGCUUCUGUCCCCCCUGUCUCAUACACAAAUUUAUUUUCCAGUCCGGCAGCAUCCAUCAUAACAUGCGUGCGCCCGUUAACGGUGCCCGGGUGGCAAACGUGUCUUGAAUUUUGUUCAGCUACGAGGGAAAAUCAUCGUUUUUGAACGUUUAUGAAUCACAAUCGAAUCGUCACGUGUCGAAUCGCGAUGCAUGUAAUAAUCGUUUUUUUGGAACUCCUCUAGAGAAUAACUGCGCUAGCUAGCAAGUGAAGCUAGUAUGACAACUGGCAUGAUUUUGUCAGUCUGCUGCUGGUCAGAUUGUUUUGUUUCAGAGAUGUGGGAUGAGUUCCCGAUGUCGUACCUGCCUCCAAUUCCAGCUAAUCAGCAGUGUCUUCAAACUGAUCCUAGGCAGGUUGCCGAGAUAUUGACUUGCUGCCAUUUGACAGUCUGUACUCUCAAUCCAUUCGUUGCUUGCCUUGGUUUUUUACGCGGCGAGACGUCCAACACAUGUGCACAUCGGUUAAAAGCGGCAGAUUGGAUUAACAUGGCAACAAAAACAGGCUAAAAUCUGAUUGGUGAAUGAAUUCCCACCUGGAUGCUGCAUUGUGAAUCCCGGUUGGCCCUGUUGCUCCCUCUGCUGGUGAAGCUUCAUCUCUGCUUGUUUGAGCUGCUCAGUAUGGAAGCUCUUCAAAGUGCCUUAAUUUGAUCUCAAGCUUCUUCAUCUGGGUCUCCACCAGCAAAGCCACCAGAGACUUAAUCUUCCUCUCCUCCACUGCUGCCAAAUGCUGUGAAAAUGGUAAAAUUUGACUUAUUAAAACACUUCUAAAAACACACGUUACAUGCAGAAAAGCUUUUACCUUUGCCUUCGUGGCAGCAGAAGCCAAAGCGGCGGCCGCCGCCGUGGUAACAGUGCU